GUGCUUGCUUUGGCAGCACAUAUACUAAAAUUGGAACAAUACAGAAAGAUUAGCAUGGCCCCUCUGCAAAGGAUAACAUGAAAAUUUGUGAAGUGCUCCAUAUUUUA